rnacentral:rRNA from 2 species
GUGUAGGUGUGUGUUCCAGGUAAAUCCGGUUCACUUUAACACUGAGGCGUGACGACGAGGCACUACGGUGCUGAAGCAACAAAUGCCCUGCUUCCAGGAAAAGCCUCUAAGCAUCAGGUAACAUCAAAUCGUACCCCAAACCGACACAGGUGGUCAGGUAGAGAAUACCAAGGCGCUUGAGAGAACUCGGGUGAAGGAACUAGGCAAAAUGGUGCCGUAACUUCGGGAGAAGGCACGCUGACACGUAGGUGAAGUGAUUUACUCAUGGAGCUGAAGUCAGUCGAAGAUACCAGCUGGCUGCAACUGUUUAUUAAAAACACAGCACUGUGCAAACACGAAAGUGGACGUAUACGGUGUGACGCCUGCCCGGUGCCGGAAGGUUAAUUGAUGGGGUCAGCGCAAGCGAAGCUCCUGAUCGAAGCCCCGGUAAACGGCGGCCGUAACUAUAACGGUCCUAAGGUAGCGAAAUUCCUUGUCGGGUAAGUUCCGACCUGCACGAAUGGCGUAAUGAUGGCCAGGCUGUCUCCACCCGAGACUCAGUGAAAUUGAACUCGCUGUGAAGAUGCAGUGUACCCGCGGCAAGACGGAAAGACCCCGUGAACCUUUACUAUAGCUUGACACUGAACAUUGAGCCUUGAUGUGUAGGAUAGGUGGGAGGCUUUGAAGUGUGGACGCCAGUCUGCAUGGAGCCGACCUUGAAAUACCACCCUUUAAUGUUUGAUGUUCUAACGUGGACCCGUUACCCGGGUUGCGGACAGUGUCUGGUGGGUAGUUUGACUGGGGCGGUCUCCUCCUAAAGAGUAACGGAGGAGCACGAAGGUUGGCUAAUCCUGGUCGGACAUCAGGAGGUUAGUGCAAUGGCAUAAGCCAGCUUGACUGCGAGCGUGACGGCGCGAGCAGGUGCGAAAGCAGGUCAUAGUGAUCCGGUGGUUCUGAAUGGAAGGGCCAUCGCUCAACGGAUAAAAGGUACUCCGGGGAUAACAGGCUGAUACCGCCCAAGAGUUCAUAUCGACGGCGGUGUUUGGCACCUCGAUGUCGGCUCAUCACAUCCUGGGGCUGAAGUAGGUCCCAAGGGUAUGGCUGUUCGCCAUUUAAAGUGGUACGCGAGCUGGGUUUAGAACGUCGUGAGACAGUUCGGUCCCUAUCUGCCGUGGGCGCUGGAGAACUGAGGGGGGCUGCUCCUAGUACGAGAGGACCGGAGUGGACGCAUCACUGGUGUUCGGGUUGUCAUGCCAAUGGCACUGCCCGGUAGCUAAAUGCGGAAGAGAUAAGUGCUGAAAGCAUCUAAGCACGAAACUUGCCCCGAG